GGUUCUUAACCGUUCGAGUUCGGCUCCUCGUGUUUCCUUGUAGCUCUUAUCGGAACCGGUGUGUGCGCAUGCCGUGUAAGUGCAAUGUAAUCCAACGCGGAGGAAAUGUCUCUAACUUUCUUCGACGACGCUUUCUUCGAAAGAAUGCGUACUGACAAAAGAAACGACAUCGGGAAAAACUUGCGCGUUGGAUGCGUGUUCGAUCUCGACUCCGAAACGUCUCUUCGAGAUUCGCACAGACUAAAGAAACAAGGAUUUACAUUUUAAUCUCGUGUGAAAAGUCCAAGUGUAUUUUAUAGCGUUGCAUAAAACCAUUUCGUUCGAAGGAUUAUGAGUUUGACCGCUGCAAUAAAUAUAAUGGCUUUACUUAGAAGUGUAUAAUUGGAGAUUACACAAAACCAAAGUUGGAGAAAUAUUGUAGCUGCAAUUAUCGUGCAAUAAAGAACAUGAAAAUGUUCUUGGGAUUGUGGGAGAUUUCAGGAUGCAAUUGCAAAAUUAAGUAUUGGAGAUGCUUCCCUUCUAUGUCAACAUAGAACAAGAUAAGAAUGACAGGCUAUAAACAUUUUAAUGUCUUCAGAAGUAAUAAAAUAUACGUUUAUGAAACUA